rnacentral:tRNA from 1 species
GGUCUGGUGCCCGAGCAGCUAGGGAACGGUCUGCAAAACCGUUUUACGCGGGUGCAAAUCCCGCCCAGACCU